AGAGUUUGAUCCUGGCUCAGAGUGAACGCUGGCGGCAGGCCUAACACAUGCAAGUCGAACGGCAGCACAGGAGAGCUUGCUCUCUGGGUGGCGAGUGGCGGACGGGUGAGGAAUACAUCGGAAUCUACCUUUUCGUGGGGGAUAACGUAGGGAAACUUACGCUAAUACCGCAUACGACCUUCGGGUGAAAGCAGGGGACCUUCGGGCCUUGCGCGAUUAGAUGAGCCGAUGUCGGAUUAGCUAGUUGGUGAGGUAAAGGCUCACCAAGGCGACGAUCCGUAGCUGGUCUGAGAGGAUGAUCAGCCACACUGGAACUGAGACACGGUCCAGACUCCGACGGGAGGCAGCAGUGGGGAAUAUUGGACAAUGGGCGCAAGCCUGAUCCAGCCAUGCCGCGUGGGUGAAGAAGGCCUUCGGGUUGUAAAGCCCUUUUGUUGGGAAAGAAAAGCAGUCGAUUAAUACUCGAUUGUUCUGACGGUACCCAAAGAAUAAGCACCGGCUAACUUCGUGCCAGCAGCCGCGGUAAUACGAAGGGUGCAAGCGUUACUCGGAAUUACUGGGCGUAAAGCGUGCGUAGGUGGUGAUUUAAGUCCGUUGUGAAAGCCCUGGGCUCAACCUGGGAAUUGCAGUGGAUACUGGGUCACUAGAGUGUGGUAGAGGGUAGCGGAAUUCCCGGUGUAGCAGUGAAAUGCGUAGAGAUCGGGAGGAACAUCUGUGGCGAAGGCGGCUACCUGGACC
rnacentral:rRNA from 1 species